UGGGACCUCUCUGUGCCCUGCAUAGGUGACAGGGGACAUCAUCUCAGAGGCCAUCCUAAGUUGACUGGAUGGAGUUAUCCUGCUCCUCCCCGCCCCAGGGACCUUAGAGCUAAUUUGAGGGACUGGGAAAGUUGCAAAAUGAAAAUUAACUGUCAGAGAAGAUUGAUUCGUUUGAUGUCUAACCAGGAGCAGCCUUUUAUUACUGUAAAAUGCUAAUUUCCAUUCGUCGCCAAUGACAGGAUGGCGGGGAGCGGCAGUGAGAAGCCUCAUUAUGUGCUGCUCUGCCUCGAAGAACAAGCCUCGCGCUGCAACCCCAGCACCCGGGCCCGCGAACAGAGCAUUAAAUUGUUGGAAAUGGCUCCCCUUCACUCGCAGAACAAAGAUGUUUUCUCCAGAAUAAAUUGCCUCCCUCUCUGAGCGCUGA